GACGAACGCUGGCGGCGUGCUUAACACAUGCAAGUCGAACGGAAAGGCCCCCUUGUGGGGUACUCGAGUGGCGAACGGGUGAGUAACACGUGAGUAACCUACCCUUGACUUUGGGAUAACUUCAGGAAACUGGGGCUAAUACCGGAUAGGAGCUCCUGCUGCAUGGUGGGGGUUGGAAAGUUUCGGCGGUUGGGGUUGGACUCGCGGCUUAUCAGCUUGUUGGUGGGGUAGUGGCUCACCAAGGCUUUGACGGGUAGCCGGCCUGAGAGGGUGACCGGCCACAUUGGGACUGAGAUACGGCCCAGACUGCUACGGGAGGCAGCAGUGGGGAAUAUUGCACAAUGGGCGGAAGCCUGAUGCAGCAGCGCCGCGUGCGGGAUGACGGCCUUCGGGUUGUAAACCGCUUUCGCCUGUGACGAAGCGUGAGUGACGGUAAUGGGUAAAGAAGCACCGGCUAACUACGUG
rnacentral:rRNA from 1 species